UUGCACGCUGGCGGCCUGCCUUACACAUGCAAGUCGAACGGCAGCAUGAUCUAGCUUGCUAGAUUGAUGGCGAGUGGCGAACGGGUGAGUAAUACAUCGGAACGUGCCCUGUAGUGGGGGAUAACUAGUCGAAAGAUUAGCUAAUACCGCAUACGACCUGAGGGUGAAAGUGGGGGACCGCAAGGCCUCAUGCUAUAGGAGCGGCCGAUGUCUGAUUAGCUAGUUGGUGAGGUAAAGGCUCACCAAGGCGACGAUCAGUAGCUGGUCUGAGAGGACGAUCAGCCACACUGGGACUGAGACGCGGCCCAGACUCCUACGGGAGGCAGCAGUGGGGAAUUUUGGACAAUGGGCGAAAGCCUGAUCCAGCAAUGCCGCGUGUGUGAAGAAGGCCUUCGGGUUGUAAAGCACUUUUGUCCGGAAAGAAAUGGCUCUGGUUAAUACCUGGGGUCGAUGACGGUACCGGAAGAAUAAGGACCGGCUAACUACGUG
rnacentral:rRNA from 1 species